rnacentral:rRNA from 1 species
GACGAACGCUGGCGGCGUGCUUAACACAUGCAAGUCGAACGGUAAGGCCCUUCGGGGUACACGAGUGGCGAACGGGUGAGUAACACGUGGGUGAUCUGCCCUGCACUUCGGGAUAGGCCUGGGAAACUGGGUCUAAUACCGGAUAGGACCACUGCCUGCAUGGGUGGGGGUGGAAAGCUUUUGUGGUGUGGGAUGGGCCCGCGGCCUAUCAGCUUGUUGGUGGGGUGAUGGCCUACCAAGGCGACGACGGGUAGCCGGCCUGAGAGGGUGACCGGCCACACUGGGACUGAGAUACGGCCCAGACUCCUACGGGAGGCAGCAGUGGGGAAUAUUGCACAAUGGGCGCAAGCCUGAUGCAGCGACGCCGCGUGAGGGAUGACGGCCUUCGGGUUGUAAACCUCUUUCAGCACCGACGAAGCGCAAGUGACGGUAGGUGCAGAAGAAGGACCGGCCAACUACGUGCCAGCCGCCGCCGUAA